CUUUUAUUUUUGUCACAUCCUCAGGUGCUCCACCCCCAUCCCAACAAUUUCAAGGGCGAGCCUACCGAGCUAUGUACGACUACACUGCUGCCGAUUCUGACGAGGUUUCAUUUAUGGAUGGAGAUAUAAUUAUCAACUGUACACCCGUUGAUGAAGGUUGGAUGACAGGCACGGUGCAACGCACGGGACAGAUUGGAAUGCUCCCUGCAAACUACGUUGAACCCGUGAACUGAUGGAAUUUCUUUAUAACUUCAAAAAAUGUUAUAUUUUGUAUAAUGAUGAUAAGAUUAAAGGUUUUUAAGAGAGAUCUCAAAAGUUUGCCCUUAAUGAUGUGGUUCUAUAACAAGAUAAAAAUUAAGUUUUAUUUUAUUUUUAUGAUUAUAAGAGCUGGAUAAAAUACUGUGACUUAAUAUGAAAUCAUAUAAUAGUUUAAAAAAAAGUCAGAGUUUCAAUAAGAUUUGUUGUCUAAAAAUAAACCUAACUUUCUCUUCAUUCUAUCCAAAAGUAUUUAGUGUAAAAAUCUACAAAAUGUUUAUUAUUUCAUUCCUCUUGGGUCUUAAACUUUCCAGUUAAAUGAUACAUUGAGGUUAUCCAUGUUUGUAUAAAUAUGUUAAAAAAAAUUAAUAAUAAUUAUCAGAUAUAUUCCAUAUUUGCUUCUGAAUAGAUAAGAUUUAUAUUUUACAAAAUAUUCUAUGUUUCUAUAUAGUUAAUAACUCACAAUAAAUGUCUUUUAUGUAACAUUAUAUAAUCAGUUUUAUUCUCUAGGUAACAGUUUACAUUUGUUUACGGUAGGAUUUAGAGUUUAGAUUGUAAUUUAUUUCUAAAGAAAAAUAUAUGUUUUUAUUUUUGAGGUAAUUUUGGUUUGAUUUUUAUCAUAAAUAUUAAUCUUUUAUUGAUUAUGUCCUGGAUUGUAAUUUUAAGAUUUUUUUUUUUUCCUUAAGGAUUAGCGUUAUUAAUUAAAACUAUAUAUUGAUACGAGUGGUAUUCUUGAGUUUUUUUAUGCAUCAUGAUAUUUCACGAUGAACCUGUUUUCUAGUACUGACGUGGCAUGCCGAGAGAAAUGUUAUCUUUAUAUAUAUAUAUUUCAUGAAAAUAAAGUAUGUACGUUAAAUUUCUAAUUGUAUUUUUACCACAUUUAUGCAAAAAAUAUUCAAGUGAUAAGCUGUUUUGUGAUCUUUUGCUAUGCACCUGUUCUAUGCCACUAAAGCUUCUAUCAAAAUGAUAUAUAUAUAUGCUCAAGGAAAUUGUUCCAGUAUUUCUUGUGUUGAUAUACUUAAUACAGUUUGAAUUUAAUAUAUGUGUACGUUUUAUUUUGUGUUAGCACGUCUUUGUUUAGUUAUGCUGAAUUUAAGAUCAUAUAACUGAUAACUUUUGUUAUUUAGUCUGAGCCAUUUGUAAGUCAAUUUUAUUUGAAGUUAAAAUAAAUAGUUAAAUUUUGA